UUAUGUCAAAUUUUUUGGUUGCAAAAAUUUUAUAUUAACAAUUUUCUGUAGCACUGAUUUAUAUCAUUUUGCUACUUGGUUGGAGAUAAAACAAACAGCUGAAGGAACACAAGAAGUCCCAGGACUUGUUGAAACUCGGGUGACUGGCACAGAGGAUGUGUGGGAUUUACUCAAGUCUGGAAGUCGGGCCAGGUCUGUUGGAUCAACCAGCGCUAAUGAGCUUAGCAGCCGUUCUCAUUGUUUGUUGCGAGUAACAGUGAAAGGAGUGAAUUUAAUAGAUGGACAAAGGACAAGAAGUCACCUAUGCAUGGUCGAUUUGGCUGGUAGUGAAAGAUUGAUGUUGAAGGUGAAAAGAUUGAAGGAAUCGCAGUUCAUUAAUAAAUCUCUUUCAGCACUUGGUGAUGUU